rnacentral:lncRNA from 1 species
GGUGAACACAGCUCCUUGUCCAUGUCUGUCGGCCAUACUCAUUGAAGCUCCUGAGAAAAGCCUGGCUCAGUGGUCAUCAACACACUUCCCAGCCUGUAUAGUGAAAGAUCAACAGCUCCCCAGCUCACUCCCGUCCUUCCACUUCCGUCCUUUGACUGUCUUUUCAUCUCUGUCUGCCUUCAUGCCUCCGAAUAAGUACUCUGUGUAUUCAGUUUGUCUUUUUUCAACUUCACACCAUCCACAAGUUCAAAGUUAUAGUUCUCCAGGGCAGACAAGUUUCUUUCUGACAUCCCAUUAUGCCAACAGGCACAGUACAGCACGACCCCAC